GACGAACGCUGGCGGCGUGCCUAAUACAUGCAAGUCGAACGCAGUGGGGACGGGUGAGUAACACGUGGGUAAGCUACCAUAAGAGGGGAUAACACUUGGAAACAGGUGCUAAACCGAUACAGCUGGAGGGACCCGCGGUGCAUUAGCUAGUUGGUGGGGUAACGCCUCACAAAGGCCACGAUGCAGAAGGGACCUGAGAGGGUGUUCGGCCAAACUGGGACGGAGACACGGCCCAGACCCCUACGUGAGGCAGCAGUAGGGAAGCUUCGGCAAUGGACGAAAGUCUGCCCUAGCAACGCCGCGGGAGUGAAGAAGGUUUUCGGAUCGUAAAACUCUUUUGUUAGAGAAGCGGUAUCGAACCAGAAAGCCACGGCUAACUACGUGCCAGCAGCCGCGGUAAUAC
rnacentral:rRNA from 1 species